rnacentral:rRNA from 1 species
UACAGAGGGGGCAAGCGUUGUUCGGAAUUACUGGGCGUAAAGGGCGCGUAGGCGGCCUUCUAAGUCGAACGUGAAAUCCCCGGGCUCAACCCGGGAACUGCGUCCGAUACUGGAAGGCUUGAAUCCGGGAGAGGGAUGCGGAAUUCCAGGUGUAGCGGUGAAAUGCGUAGAUAUCAGGAGGAACACCGGUGGCGAAGGCGGAUCUCUGGGCCUGACCUGACGCUGAGGCGCGAAAGCUAGGGGAGCGAACAGG